rnacentral:rRNA from 1 species
AGUAACCUGCCUUUCAGAGGGGAAUAACGUUCUGAAAAGAACGCUAAUACCGCAUAACGUACAGUUACCGCAUGGUAGCAGUACCAAAGGAGCAAUCCGCUGAAAGAUGGACUCGCGUCCGAUUAGCUAGUUGGUGGGGUAAAGGCCUACCAAGGCGACGAUCGGUAGCCGGACUGAGAGGUUGAACGGCCACAUUGGGACUGAGACACGGCCCAGACUCCUACGGGAGGCAGCAGUGGGGGAUAUUGCACAAUGGGGGAAACCCUGAUGCAGCAACGCCGCGUGUGGGAAGAAGGUUUUCGGAUUGUAAACCACUGUUCUUGGUGAAGAUAAUGACGGUAACCAAGGAGAAAGCUCCGGCUAACUACGUGCCAGCAGCCGCGGUAAUACGUAGGGAGCAAGCGUUGUCCGGAUUUACUGGGUGUAAAGGGUGCGUAGGCGGCUAGGCAAGUCAGACGUGAAAACCAUGGGCUCAACCUGUGGACUGCGUUUGAAACUGUUUAGCUUGAGUGAAGUAGAGGUAGGCGGAAUUCCCGGUGUAGCGGUGAAAUGCGUAGAGAUCGGGAGGAACACCAGUGGCGAAGGCGGCCUACUGGGCUUUAACUGACGCUGAGGCACGAAAGCAUGGGUAGCAAACAGGAUUAGAUACCCUGGUAGUCCAUGCCGUAAACGAUGAUUACUAGGUGUGGGGGGUCUGACCCCCUCCGUGCCGGAGU